GGCCGAAGUAGCGGACCGGCUGGCCGAGUUGGCGCUCGCGGCGCCGGCGGGCAGGGUCGCGGACCUGGGCGGCCCC
rnacentral:tRNA from 1 species